GUGUCCAGGGAUGGGAAUCGAACCCACAGUGUUCCGCUUACCGGGCAGAUGCCAUGUCCACUAGGUUAGAA